AGCAACAGCAAGAAACAACAUUUCAUUUCGCCUGACUUAAUGAUUCCGGAGGGUUCGCCUUGUGCUUUGGACACGCACAUGACUAUUCAUCCAUGUACUGAUUCCCUGGCCACUGGGGAAAUGAUCCCCUGAAAAUAGGAACAGAGAGGAGGCCAAGCCAGUUGGCUGGAAUUAGCAGCAAGUGUCUAAAGCGAUGGUUUUAUGAUGUGUGGACUCCCAGAAUUUCCCAGCCAGCUUGCUCAAGUUGAGAAAAAGAAUGGACUCAGGAACAAUAGAGCAGAAAAUUGUGCUGGGAAACUGUUCAGAAGGGAGAAAGUGCAGAUUCUCUGUGAAGCCAAAACUGACAAGAAGAACCAGAAAUGGGCUUAAGAAUUCAUGCUGAACUGAUAAACUAUACUACACUUAAUCAGAAGGAAGAGAUGCUGCCAAAGGAAUGAUCAGAUAAGACACGUGUAGCCUGCAAGAGAGCUGGGCAAGAGAAUCAGAAAGGACCCUCCUAUUUUCUUGGGCUGUAAAGGAGAUGCAAAGAGAAUUGUGCAAAAGGUGUUUUUUCAAAAGGCAACUGGACUUUCUGUGUUUUUCCUUGAAGACGUUUCACUUCUCACCCAAGAAGCUUCUUCAGUUCAACAAGCUUUUCCUUUGGAACAACCAUGACUGGGAUGACUGAGAAUCUCCAUAGACAAGGAAAAUUGUACUUACAAUUUUCAGAUUUGUAAGACUGUUCAUUUUAUUUUUAUUUGUAUUUAUUUGUAUUUCGUCAAGCAUGUAUUUUAUGACAGAUACAAGUGUAAACAUAAUUAUAAAUACAUGAAAUGGAUAUGAAUAAAAGGAAACAUUAGCACAGGGAUGGUUAGCACGCUGACGCGCUUAAGCACACCUCUUUACAAUAAAAGUAGA